AGUCUCCUGCUCAAAACAGGAGCGCAGCAGCCGGAGGGAGUGGGGACAAGCUCGCUGAACACUGGGCGUCUCGACAGGGACCAGAGCCUGCAGGACUGUUCCGAGACGCUGCGGUGGCGGCGGCGCCGGAGGACGCGGAGGACUCCCUGGCCACCCGCCCUCCGUGCGCUCUGCCACCGGGCGCUCAGCAGAGACCCCGGGCUGCGGCUGCACUUGCUGAGUGCCUCUCCCCGCCGCCGCAGCCCAGAGGCGCCCAGCACCUGGAGCUCACUGGAGCUGAGGGUCCGAGCUGAGCGGGCUGUUGUAAAGCCGAAAGGCGAGUCAGUGACUGGGACCUCUGUCCUGGUGGCGACGGAGAGAAACAGUGAGCCCGAGGGGCGCGGGCACAGAACUGUCCAGCUCCGAGAACUGGGGUCCGCCAGCCGGCGGGGAAAGCAGCUGAGCGCGGAGGCGAGUGAGCGGACGCGUCCCGGGGUCUUUGCAGUCCCCGCCGGCCCCAAGGCACCGACUCUCGGUCAGUUGGGCGCGGCAGGGCGGGAGGGGCGCGCCAUGGAGGCGCCGGGUCGCGCCAGUAUGCUCCAGGCCAAGUGAAGCGGUCCGGCUGGGGUCGGCGGGACCCGCGGGCCAUGUACGGCGACAUAUUCAACGCCACGGGCGGCCCCGAGGCGGCGGUAGGCAGCGCGCUGGCCCCAGGAGCCACGGUCAAGGCAGAAGGCGCUUUGCCGCUGGAGCUGGCCACUGCGCGCGGUAUGAGGGACGGCGCGGCCACAAAGCCCGACCUGCCCACCUACCUGCUGCUCUUCUUCCUGCUGCUGCUCUCGGUGGCGCUCGUCGUCCUCUUCAUCGGUUGCCAGCUGCGCCAUUCGGCCUUCGCCGCGCUGCCCCACGACCGCUCGCUGCGCGACGCCCGCGCGCCCUGGAAGACGCGGCCGGUGUAGCUUGGGACUGAGCCACGGCCGCCGGGCGCCCCGUCCCGACCUAGCCAAGAGCAGCCAGCUUGAGCCUGGGGCAGGAACCGCAAGCGUGCAACUAGCCUGGAGCUACCCGUCUGGACUCGCAGGCCCUGUGGCUGUUUCCCACAGCUGCUACGGCCUCUCUUGCUCCUUGACACCGAGGAGGACCCCACUAGGAUCCGAGCGUCGUGAACUCACCUGAACUUUGGAAGGUUGGCACUGGGGGGCCGCAUCCCCCUGGGAAAUGACUGAACGCGGGGUUUCAGUGGGUCCCGCCUGGGUCUAAGGACCCAGUUUCUUCUGUGAGCACGGGCAGUGGGAGGCCGGUGGAAAGGCGCAGGGGCCCACCUACGCGUCUCACAUCUUCAGGGGCGCAUUUCUACAAUAAAAACUCACCCAAUUAGACCUAGCGCUGAGAACGUGCUG
rnacentral:lncRNA from 1 species